rnacentral:rRNA from 1 species
GACCCGUCUUUGGAGCACGGACCAAGGAGUCCAACAUGUGCGCGAGUCUAAGGGUUGAUGAAACCUGGAGGCGAAAUGAAAGUGAGAGUGGCCCCUUUUAGGGGCUUGACAGGCCGAUCCCUGGUCUUGGAACUGUCAGUUGCUUGGACAGUCCAGCGUACGUGGCCACGCAAGUGGCGGGCGUGCUGGGUGUGCAUGGCGGCUGGUGGGAACGAGGCUGCCCACUUUGUGGGUUAUUGGGCGCAGGCCGAGGACUUGCCAUAGUUCGGCGCGGGCAACGGGUUCCUCCUCACGGGGGUUCCUUAUCCCGAUGUCCGGCGGCAAGUACCUGAGAGCGCAGCCGUUGGGACCCGAAAGAUGGUGAACUAUGCCUGGCGAGGACGAAGCCAGAGGAAACUCUGGUGGAGGUCCGAAGCAGUUCUGACGUGCAAAUCGAUUGUCAGAGCUGGGUAUAGGGGCGAAAGACUAAUCGAACCAUCUAGUAC